rnacentral:rRNA from 1 species
GAUGAACGCUGGCGGCGUGCCUAAUACAUGCAAGUCGAGCGAACAGACGAGGAGCUUGCUCCUCUGACGUUAGCGGCGGACGGGUGAGUAACACGUGGAUAACCUACCUAUAAGACUGGGAUAACUUCGGGAAACCGGAGCUAAUACCGGAUAAUAUAUUGAACCGCAUGGUUCAAUAGUGAAAGACGGUUUUGCUGUCACUUAUAGAUGGAUCCGCGCCGCAUUAGCUAGUUGGUAAGGUAACGGCUUACCAAGGCGACGAUGCGUAGCCGACCUGAGAGGGUGAUCGGCCACACUGGAACUGAGACACGGUCCAGACUCCUACGGGAGGCAGCAGUAGGGAAUCUUCCGCAAUGGGCGAAAGCCUGACGGAGCAACGCCGCGUGAGUGAUGAAGGUCUUCGGAUCGUAAAACUCUGUUAUUAGGGAGAACAAAUGUGUAAGUAACUAUGCACGUCUUGACGGUACCUAAUCAGAAAGCCACGGCUAACUACGUG